GAGUUGUAGUCCUCCGAUAGUAACCGCCCCGGGGCAGGCCGGGAAUUGAAGUCAUCACUAGAGAAGGCGCUCGGGAGCUCGUUCCUCACGUGGCUACUGGAGCGCCGGCUUUCUUCUUGUUUUGCUUCCUCCUCUGCCCGCGUGUGUGGCUACUGUGUCAUGUGGUCGGCGGUUUUCAGUAAUGUUAGCUGAAAUGUAGGAAACCAAAAUUCUACGAAACUUAACUGAUUCGGAGAAAGCGAGGACCUGUCUUUUCUGCCCCGCCUUCUGUAGAUAGGUAUCUGACGGGGGCGGUGUGGCGGUAGAAUCAGGUUGAGCAUUGCAAGAGCGCGGGAUUUGAUCUAGAGUGAGGCUUUGAUACUUUUGGGAAAGUGAAUGUUAAUUCGUUUCCCGGUCUUGGCGCGCCCUGACACCAGUACGGUUGAGCUCAUCCUCCUUACGGUAAAAUCACUAGUGAAGAAAUACCUGAAUUGCCUUGUGCACGUUUCUCAAGAGAGUAGCAUGCGUUGCUGGUGAUGUGAAAAGAAUGUGGACUUAACUGCAUACUCUUGUUGGCUACGAGUUCAGCCUGCACAAAUGUGUGGGUCAGGUUCGCAAACUGCGCAAAUAAACACGUCUCAAAGGACAUAAUGCAACCGCAGCCGGUUCGAGCACCGAGAAACCUUAAGUAACAAAAUCAAUUUACUGGACUUCCCGGGUUGCCUCCUAGAACUCUGGUGUGAGUGGCGCUUCUGAAGCGGUCGUUCUGUUUAGUGCCUGUAUUCCUAUUCAUAUAUUCUGCUGUGUUGCAAAUGGAUUGAAGAAAAACAAGAAUGAACUUGGAACAACUAAGUAAGAGAGUAUUUUAGUCAUCCAGAUGGUUACUCUGAUUGUGGUGGCAGCGAAGACAGGAGAAAGAUGGGGGCUCCUCUGGUUUCAAAGAAGAAGAGGAAGGCGAUGACGAUUGAAAUAUCCUGUAUGAAAUGGAAGACGAGAACUUCGUUGAAAGUCCGCACGACUUCAGAAGAGUAGUGACUGCCCACGUGAACCGGGCUCCUGACCCUUGCCAACCAGCAGAACCUGGUUCCCUGGUCUUCUCUCCUCCACUGCUCCCCACUGAUCUCUGCAGCAUCUGUGGACUCCGGAGGACAAGACUCGGUGAAUUCAUCUACUUUAUUGCUGCCCUGCAGCUGUCACCACCCUCUUCUCUGACAUCAGAAGCCAGCAUGCUUGGUCAUCCAACGUGAACUGAAGACUAGUGACUCUCCAGGAAUCUUCCAGGCCUUCAGCACCAGAUUACCUCUGCUGAGGAGGAAUCCAGCUACAUGGACCAAGUAGCUAUUGGGUUCCCAGCUUCUCCAGAGCAUAGCUGUGUUUGGACUAACGAGCUUAUGGUAUGUAAGACAAUCUAAUAAAGCCAGUUUUUAAUGUA
rnacentral:sRNA from 1 species